UUCUUCACAACGACCAGAGACUGCUGCUCAGUGACGACUACAUUAGGUAGCAGCUGAGUUUCCUGUGAGGUGAGUGACAUAAGUGUGGAAUAAUGAACGGUGCAGACUGGCGCGGAAUGAUGUCACUGAUGUCUCGCCAUUUUAGACUGAACAGCGGCAGCACCAUCGUCUGACUGAACACAGGUGAGGGCAAGACGACACUUGCGGUGCUGGGACAAUACAUCAGGGUGUCCCCGUUGAAAUGUCAUCACCUGCAGAAACUCAGUCUGACCUCUGCGGGGGUAAAAAGGAUUCCAACCAAACUACAACAGAAGAGGUGAAACCAAGGCCAAAAUAUCCUAGCUUGGGUCAAAAGCCAGGUGGCUCAGACUUCUUAAUGAAAAGACUUCAAAAAGGGCAAAAGUACUUCGACUCGGGUGAU